rnacentral:misc_RNA from 1 species
AGUUAUUCAUGGAAAUGAGUGAUGAAUAAAAAUGAGGGCAAGCUUUCUUUUGCACAAAUUGGAUUGGAAUGAGGCUGAUGCUGCAGUUAGAUGCCUUUCGUUCGUGCAAUUGUUUCAUGGAUUUGAGAUUUAAAUAGCUAGAGGGCCAUAUGUUCAUGAAUUUCUACAGCCAUGUAUAUUUUUCCAAACUGUUGUGUUCCCAUUUUCAGAGUGUAAUGUUUGGAUCUGUGAGGGAUUCUAUAGCGUAAAUAAUUGAGCAAGACGACUGAG